rnacentral:rRNA from 1 species
ACGCCUUAUACAUGCAAGUCGAACGCAGUAGCAAUACUGAGUGGCAAACGGGUGAGUAUAAUGUGGGUAUCUGCCUUUUGGUUUGGAAUAACAUGAGGAAACUUGUGCUAAUACCGGAUAAGCCUUCACAGGGAAAGUUUUAUACGCCGAAAGAUGAGCCCGCACUUGAUUAGUUUGUUGGUGAGGUAAUGGCUCACCAAGACUAUUAUCAAUAGCUGGUCUGAGAGGACGAUCAGCCACAUUGGGACUGAGACACGGCCCAGACUCCUACGGGAGGCAGCAGUAAGGAAUCUUGCACAAUGGGGGAAACCCUGAUGCAGCGAUGCCGCGUGAGUGAAGAAGGCCCUUGGGUUGUAAAACUCUUUCGUCGGGGAAGAAAAUGACUGUACCCGAAUAAGAAGGUCCGGCUAACUUCGUGCCAGCAGCCGCGGUAAUACGAAGGGACCUAGCGUAGUUCGGAAUUACUGGGCUUAAAGAGCUCGUAGGUGGUUAAAAAAGUUGAUGGUGAAAUCCCAAGGCUCAACCUUGGAACUGCCAUCAAAACUUUUUAGCUAGAGUGUGAUAGAGGAAAGUGGAAUUUCUAGUGUAGAGGUGAAAUUCGUAGAUAUUAGAAAGAACACCAAAUGCGAAGGCAACUUUCUGGGUCACUACUGACACUGAGGAGCGAAAGCAUGGGUAGCGAAGAGGAUUAGAUACCCUCGUAGUCCAUGCCGUAAACGAUGUGUGCUAGACGUUGGAAAUAUAUUUUUCAGUGUCGCAGCGAAAGCAUUAAGCACACCGCCUGGGGAGUACGACCGC